rnacentral:rRNA from 1 species
GAUGAACGCUGGCGGCGUGCCUAAUACAUGCCAGUCGAGCGAACAGACGAGGAGCUUGCUCCUCUGACGUUAGCGGCGGACGGGUGAGUAACACGUGGAUAACCUACCUAUAAGACUGGGAUAACUUCGGGAAACCGGAGCUAAUACCGGAUAAUAUAUUGAACCGCAUGGUUCAAUAGUGAAAGACGGUUUUGCUGUCACUUAUAGAUGGAUCCGCGCCGCAUUAGCUAGUUGGUAAGGUAACGGCUUACCAAGGCGACGAUGCGUAGCCGACCUGAGAGGGUGAUCGGCCACACUGGAACUGAGACACGGUCCAGACUCCUACGGGAGGCAGCAGUAGGAAAUCUUCCGCAAUGGGCGAAAGCCUGACGGAGCAACGCCGCGUGAGUGAUGAAGGUCUUCGGAUCGUAAAACUCUGUUAUUAGGGAAGAACAAAUGUGUAAGUAACUAUGCACGUCUUGACGGUACCUAAUCAGAAAGCCACGGCUAACUACGUG